AUGGUGCAGCGAAGCAACGAUGCACCCAUUGUGGCGCUGCCGCCGGCUACCUCGAGCAUCGGAGCCACCGAAGAGCUCCAACGGAGCAGCACCGAAACUGAUGAAAAAAAGCUUUGCAACGCCGACGACACCCCAGGGAAGCUCCAUGGCAGCACCGCGGCUCCAAAAAAGCUCCGAUGCGGCACCGUCGACGCCCGGCAAAGCUCCAUUGUAGCCUCGGUCGUGCUCCAUUGCUGCUCCGGCGAAGCUCCAUUGCAGCCGUGGCGAAGCUCCAAGCCUCCAAUGCAUGACCUCGCACACGCUCCAUUGCAGCCCCACCGACGGCGGAAGCUGCGAUGCAACUCCGGUGGCGCUUCAAUGCAGCCACGGCGGAGCUUCAACAACCUCGCUCGGCGCUCUACUGCAGCCCCGCCGACGGCAGAAGCUGUGAUGCAACUCCGGUGGCACUUCAAUGCAGCCACGGUGGAGCUUCAACAACCUUGCUCGGCGCUUUGCUGCAGCCCCGCCGUCGUGAGCAUGAAUCAGGCGACGUUCGCUAGUCCCUUCCUCCGCUACGGUGGUGCCUCUGCUCUGCCGCUUAACGAAUGCAACAAAUCGUCGGAUGACCGUUCCAUUGCCGCUCUGCCACCGGCGACUUGCAGCACCAGUAGCGCCGACGAGGUUGCAUCGCAGCACGGCGGCCAUGGAUGA
rnacentral:rRNA from 1 species